rnacentral:rRNA from 1 species
UACGUAGGGGGCAAGCGUUGUCCGGAUUUAUUGGGCGUAAAGAGCGUGUAGGCGGCUGGGUAAGGUCCGUUGUGAAAACUCGAGGCUCAACCUCGAGACGCGGUAUGAAACCCUCCAGCCUAGAGUCCGGAAGAGGAGAGUGGAAUUCCCUGGUGUAGCGGUGAAAUGCGCAGAUAUCGAGGAAGAACCAGCCCGUAGGCGUAAGGCGGCGUCGUCUGGGACGGUACUGACGGCUGA